UCCUCGGUGGCGCAAUUGGCUAGCGCGUCGUAAGUUGCACCUUUCAAAUAAAACUCACGAUGCAAUGGUGUCUAACAGAAGAACAGUGACUGUUAAUCAGGAGGUUGAAAGUUCGAGCCUUUCCCGGGGAG